rnacentral:rRNA from 1 species
UACAGAGGGUGCAAGCGUUAAUCGGAAUUACUGGGCGUAAAGCGCGCGUAGGUGGUUCGUUAAGUUGGAUGUGAAAUCCCCGGGCUCAACCUGGGAACUGCAUUCAAAACUGUCGAGCUAGAGUAUGGUAGAGGGUGGUGGAAUUUCCUGUGUAGCGGUGAAAUGCGUAGAUAAUCAGAAGGAACAUCAGUGGACGAAAGCGA